GGGACACGUGGUAUCCUGUCUGAAUAUGGGGGGACCAUCCUCCAAGGCUAAAUACUCCUGACUGACCGAUAGUGAACCAGUACCGUGAGGGAAAGGCGAAAAGAACCCCGGCGAGGGGAGUGAAAAAGAACCUGAAACCGUGUACGUACAAGCAGUGGGAGCACGCUUAGGCGUGUGACUGCGUACCUUUUGUAUAAUGGGUCAGCGACUUAUAUUCUGUAGCAAGGUUAACCGAAUAGGGGAGCCGAAGGGAAACCGAGUCUUAACUGGGCGUUAAGUUGCAGGGUAUAGACCCGAAACCCGGUGAUCUAGCCAUGGGCAGGUUGAAGGUUGGGUAACACUAACUGGAGGACCGAACCGACUAAUGUUGAAAAAUUAGCGGAUGACUUGUGGCUGGGGGUGAAAGGCCAAUCAAACCGGGAGAUAGCUGGUUCUCCCCGAAAGCUAUUUAGGUAGCGCCUCGUGAAUUCAUCUCCGGGGGUAGAGCACUGUUUCGGCAAGGGGGUCAUCCCGACUUACCAACCCGAUGCAAACUGCGAAUACCGGAGAAUGUUAUCACGGGAGACACACGGCGGGUGCUAACGUCCGUCGUGAAGA
rnacentral:rRNA from 1 species